rnacentral:rRNA from 1 species
CUGCUCAAUGAAUAAUUUUAAAUAGCUGCAGUAUAAAUAACUGUACAAAGGUAGCAUAAUAAUUUGUUUUUUAAUUGAAAACUAGAAUGAAUGAUUAAAUGAAAUAUAAACUAUAUCAAAUUUAAAAAAUAAAUUUAUUAUUUAAAUAAAAAAAUUUAAAUAAUUUUUAAAGACGAGAAGACCCUAAAGAAUUUUAAUAAUAAAUUAUAAUAUAAAUUUAUAAUUUAUUAUAUUAAUUGGGGAAAUUUUAAAAUUUAAAAAAUUUUUAAUUAAAUAAACAUAUAUUUUUGAAUAUUUAAAAUUUUUUUAAAAAAUUAAAUUAAAUUACCUUAGGGAUAACAGCAUAAUUUUUUUAAAAAG